CAGGCUCUGCUUCAACCGAAGCCUGGCGCUCUGCGUCAGAGAUUCAUGUAGGUUGGGUGGGGCCAC
rnacentral:ncRNA from 1 species